UGUAUUUUCAUUCUACAUUUCACGUGGCAGUUCAUUUGUUAAUAAUUCAUUACUUCAUUACAUAUUUAUGAUACCAUUAUGUAUACUGAAUCAUGUUUGAUGUCAUUUUGAGAUCAGGUGUUCCAGAAAUUUCAUACUUAUACAUAGCCUUUUGGAAACAGGUUUCUAGGUAUUUUCACAUUAUCACUGAAAUGUCUUUCCCUGGGUUUUCCCUUGAGACUGGGUAUCACUUCUUGACUCAGAACAAAGGUAACACAAAACACUGCUGCCCACAGUUGGCAACAGAGCUAUGAACUGUUUCAUUGUUGCCUGGAUCCGCCUGGUAUAGAUUCUCUCACUCAUCUGCUAAUAGCUGCUUGUUGCUGUAUUUCUUUUUCUUUUCACUAAAAGAGCUGUCAUCACUCUAGCUGAAUUAAUGGUAAGGACAGGAACUUAUCUUCUGAACUCUAAUGUAAAAGUAUAUUGUUACAAUCGCAAGUCAUCUAGGAACCUGAAUUAAUUGAUAUUUCAACCAUAAUAAUGCUUUAUUUGAAUUUGGCACAAAUCCUCAUUAUUAUUAUUAUUAUUAUUAUUAUUAUGAUUAUUGGUCUUUUUCGUUUUUACCAGUACCGGGGAUCAAACUCACGACUGCCUGUUUGCAAGGCAGGCACUUACGCCACUGAGUUAAAUCCCCAGCCCCUCAAAUCCUCAUUAUUAAUAUAUCAUUAAUUCAGAAAUGUUUACCAUAAUUCUGAAACAUACAAAAAAUACUAUGUAUGUUUAUUUCUGUACUACCACUGUAGUGGGAAAUUUUUAAAAAUUUUAAAAACUGAGGAAGUUAUUUAGCUUCCAAACAUCAUGUUAAACUAAAAUGUUUAAAUAGUUAAGACCUGAAGCUUUAAAAAUGGAUAGAUUUGUGUGCUUACAUUCUAGCUCCAUCCCUGCAACGUCUGUGGUUUUGGUGUGAUGUAACAAGAACUAAUAGGUACCACUUAAUGAGUAUAUAUUCUCUUUCAAGUGAUUUGUUAAUAACUUUACUUAUUAAAUCUUUAUAACUUUGAAGUAGUCACUAAUGUCAUUCUCAUUUUAAAGGUGAGUAAAUACCGACUUAGGUUAGACAACCAUAAAGAUUAUGGGUUGAAAAGAAAUAAGACUUAGUUACAAAUAACAACAGCAAAACUAGAUUAAAAAAUAGGGCAGGGCUGGGGAUAUAGCUCAGUGGCACAGCACCUGUCUGCCAAGUGUGAGGUCGGAGUUUGAUUCCUGGUACUAAAACAAAAUAAAACGGAGCAAAGGGCUUGAAACAUUUCUCUAAAGAAGACAUACAAAUGGCCAAUCGAUACAUAAAGAGCUGCUCAAGAGAAAUACAAAUCAGAACUACAAAAGAUACCACUAGACACUCAGGAGGAUGGCUAUUAUAAAACAAAUGUACAAGAAAAACAAAAAUAGAAAAUAAGUGGUGAAGACAGAGAAACUAAAAUCCACGUGCACUGCUGGUAGGAAUGUAAAAAGAUGUAGCCACUACAGAAUAUAGUAUGAUGAUUCCCUGAAAAAUUAAACAUAGUUACCACAUGCCUCAGUAAUUCCACUUGUAGGUAUACACUCAAAAAAGUUGAAAGCAGGGACUUCAAUAGGUGUUUGUAUAGCCAUGUUCAUAACAACUUUAUUCACAAUAGCCAAAAAGUGCAAGCAAUUUAAAUGUCAUAAGCAAACUGUAUGUAGACAUGGAGUAUUAUUUAGCCUUAAAAAGGAAGGAAAUUCAGGCACAUGCUACAACAUGAAUGAACAUGGAAGACACAAUGGCAAAUAAAAUAAGCCAGUCACAAAAAGACAAGUAUGAUUUUAUUUAUAGGUGGUAAUUAGAGUGGUCAAAUUCCUAUGCACAAAAAAUAGAAUGGUGGUUUCUAGGGGACAAGAGAGAUGGAGAGGGAGAAUUCUUAUUUAGUCAGUAUAGAAUUAUAGUUUAGGAGCACAGGAAAGAGUUAUGAAAAAGAAUGGUGGUGCCAGAUGCAGAACAUUAUAAAUGUACUUAAUGCCACUGAACUACACUUAAAAUGACUAAAACCUUGUAUUAUUAUACAUAUUCUACCACAGUUUUUUAUUCAUUUUUAAAAUUUGUUUAGUGCUAGGAAUCAAACUCAGGACCUCGCACUUGCCAGGUUGCUGUCUACCACAGAUUUUUAAAGGAAGCAAAAUGACAUCUUUCAACUCCCAGCUUUCCCACAGUGACCCAAAAAUACUCUAUCUAGUAAGAGCAGUACUUUACCGCCCAAAGGAAGACACCUGCUGAAGAAGGGACAAUGCCACUGCCCCAACUCACUGUGCUCAACUUUCACUUGCACAUAUUUGCAGACCAAAGGGGGAAAAACAUACUUAUAUUCUCCUUGUUUACCCUAAGUUUCUAAGAGAAAAAUGCAGAAGAAUUGAGAUUCAACACUAUAAAGGAAAUUUUCUGGAAGAAAAAUACAAAGGUGGCAAGAUGAUAAUGUCAUGAAGAUAAAACACUGAAUGGCUUCAAAAAGUGAAAGAAGAAAAACAAGACAUAAUUUAAAAACAAACGUGUUUUAAAUUAUACAUGAGAAGGAAAACAAGACAUAGGCCUCUGACUACAAUACCCACAGCAGAUUUUUAAAAUAUUCUUUAUGAAGUCAGAAACUGUUCAUGUUAGUAACAAAGAUAUGAAGGCUAGAAUUCAGUUAAGUACACAAGGAAAUGUUUCUGUAUUUUUUCACUGCAAUGAGGAUUGCAUGUUAAGUGUAUUCAGUUACACUGUCACUCAUUAACCUAGAUUAUUCUCUGCAAAGAAACUAUCAAAGAAUUCAAAGUCCAACUCACCUAGAAAUUCAAGCCAGUCAUUAUUUUUCAGAAAGAAUCCAGGGACACAGAUUUUUAAAAAAGCAAUAUUCUACUCCUGAAGUCUAACAUCAAGCAAAACAAUAACAUUGUAUUUACUUUUCCUCAUACCUAUUUUAUUAAAUGCUUCUUGUAGUUCUUCAAGCUCCUCUCGAGAAAUGGUAGUGGUACUAUUUUCCAUCUUAGGUCAGGAAAGACAACUUCAAGUCUUUGUGUCUAGAAAAAGCAGUAUUUACAAGAGAACGUUAGUCCUUUGGAAACAUUUUUCUAAGAAAUAUAAGGUACAGACAAGUAUAUUUUCUGCCAAAAAAAAAAUCACCCAUAAUGUCUGGCUGAUAAGAAACAAAUAGUAGGUCUCCCAGUAACACUCUCUCCCAGUAGUGGGCUAGCCAACAAGACACUCAGUGUGAGGAAAAAACACCUUUUCCACUUUGUGCUUUCCGGAGGCACAAAUCUCUCAGUAGUCUGUGCAAUUUUCAUUUUCCCUCAUCAAGCAAGUUUAAGAAAAGCAGCAUUGAAGUAGAAGGCCUGAAAGUAAGAUUUACAGAUAUCAGAUAUCAGUAGUGUCCACAAAAAGGGUAAAGUUAGCUUAGUCUGCUCAUCUAGAGAUGGAGUUUGUGGCUCCUUUAAAAUAAUCCUUCCCCUUCCCUGUGGGAGGUUCUUUCUGGAUCACUGGGGCCCUUUUUACUGUGAGUAGAGAAGAUAAAUAAAAAGAAAAAAAAUCAUGUAAAAUUAGACUAUUAGAAAGUUAUAAGGUGGUGCUCAUUUUUUAAAAUAAUUGGUAACAAAUCCCCCAAACAGAAAAGUAAAGUUACCCAUAAUAAUGCUCUCCAGAGCUUAAAUGAUGGUUCAGUGAACAUCCUUGUAGAUAAAUCUUUGUUCACAUCCAUCUUUAUUUCCAUAUGACAAAUACUACAAGUGAAAUUAUAUUUUUAAUACUUCAGACAUAUAACAGUGCAACUCUCAUUUUUUAAAUAACUUAAUUAUCUACUCAAUAUAAAGCUAAUGUAGAAUACAAAUUAUGUUGUAUUCCUCUCAGAUAUACUUAGUUAUAUCAGACAUUUCUUAUGUACCUCAGAAAAUAAUGGAACAUUUCUGCUUUACGAGUCCAGAAGAACUGAAACUAAAUGGAAGGUCACCAUUUUAAAAACUUUAUAUGCUUACAUAUGAUUAUAUUUAAAUGAGGUUCAAUAUCUCACAGUUGUCAGGGAGGCACAUAAAUUUUCAACAUAAUUUAUUUAGUAAAAUCUAUCAUGGAUGACUUUAUGUAUUUAUUUAUUUAAUUUGGUACCAGGGAUUGAACUCAUGACCUCAUGCUUAUCAGGUAGCUGCUUAUGACGCUGAGCUAUAUCCCCAGCCUAUAUCAUUGAUCACUUUAAAACCAUAUUAAAUUAUAUGAAGCACUCAAAGAAUAUAGCUCUUGUCACUUACAAUUUGUAUACCGACUUCUUUAGGAUUUUUAGUAUAUUUGCUGCCGAAGUGAGCACUCAAGGACUUUCGAUCUUUCAAAGGGAUAAAAUUUUAUCUUUUAUAAUUUUGCUGGGGAAUGAGUCUAAUUUAAUCUACAAUUAAAUAUUUUUUAAAAUAUUCUAUUGCUUACUAUUUAAUUCUUCACCAUUAAAAAAAUCUGAGGUGCUAAGUUAGUAGAGGAAUACAACAGAAAGUCAGACUCCCUGGAUGCAGUUCCUUAUAGCUAGUAUUAAAUAUUCAUUAUAUUGAAUUCUUUCUUUGAGAAAGUUUUACUGCAGUUAAAACUACUUACAGGAAUAGCUAUUAUGUGUUGAAAGAUGUUGAGCAGUCUUAUAAGGAUUUUUAAGUGAAAUGCUAUUUCUGUUGUGGCUGGGUUUUGGUCUUUGUGGUCGUGGUCAUCUUCCAUAUCCUGUCCCUUGUUCUAAAUGGCUUGUAUAUCUUGCUUCCAUUUUUAAAAAUAGUGGUCCAAUUUUAGCAUUUGCAUUGUACAGAAAGGCUGCAAACUAACAGUCCUUGUGCUAAUUUUGCAAUUUUAGCCAUCAUCAUUUAAAUUUAUGAAACUUGUUAAUUACCAAAAAAAAUUUUUAUUCUCCCCUAAUCAGUAAAACCAAAAUGUAAACUUAUUUAAAAAGCAAUUUACCCACAUACUGAUAGGUUUUCAAUUUUUUAAGCUUUGUUUCUAUAUCUAAUAAAUAUAAAAAUGUUGGAUUAAGUCCUUUAGCAUUUAAAUGACACAAACAGAAAAUACAAAAUAUCUUAACCUGCUUUAGUUUGUUUAAUCUAAACAUAAAUGAAGAUAUGGAUAACUGCAUGUAUGUUUAAGUGUAUAGAAUUGACAACCAUGUUACUAAGUUUUUGUUGGGCAGUUGAACAGAACUGUUUGCAGUCUCGCUGUUUGAAUUCCCACUUUACAUGUUCCAAUUUUGUAUCUUGUACAACUAUUUGUAAAAUGACAAUAUGUAAACAUCAACUAGUGAUUUCUUACCGUUUAUUUCUUUCUCUAAACGUAUGUAUUAUUUCUACCUA